rnacentral:rRNA from 1 species
GUGGAUUAGAUACCCGGGUAGUCCAUGCCGUAAACGUUGGGCGCUAGGUGUGGGGUCCUAUCCACGGAUUCCGUGCCGCAGCUAACGCAUUAAGCGCCCCGCCUUGGGAGUACGGCCGCAAGGCUAAAACUCAAAGGAAUUGACGGGGGCCCGCACAAGCGGCGGAGCAUGCGGAUUAAUUCGAUGCAACGCGAAGAACCUUACCAAGGCUUGACAUACGCCGGAAACAUCCAGAGAUGGGUGCCCCGCAAGGUCGGUGUACAGGUGGUGCACGGUUGUCGACAGCU